rnacentral:rRNA from 1 species
UAGAGUUUGAUCAUGGCUCAGGAUAAACGCUGGCGGCGUGCAUUAUGCAUGCAAGUCGAACGGUGCCGCAAGGCACAGUGGCAAACGGGUGAGUAACACGUAAGUAACCUGCCUCUGAGUGGGGAAUAACUUCGGGAAACUGAGGCUAAUACCGCAUAUGGUGUACUCUCGCAGGAGGGUCCACCAAAGCCGCAAGGCGCUCGGAGAGGGGCUUGCGCCCGAUUAGCUAGUUGGUGGGGUAACGGCCUACCAAGGCUGUGAUCGGUAGCUGGUCUGAGAGGAUGGUCAGCCACACUGGGACUGAGACACGGCCCAGACUCCUGCGGGAGGCAGCAGCRAGGAAUUUUGSGCMAWGGGSGRAARSCYKGASSCRGCAACGCCGCGUGAGGGAUGAAGGCCUUCGGGUUGUAAACCUCUUUUGUCAGGGACGAAUAAUGACGGUACCUGGCGAAWAAGCUUUGGCKAACUACGUGCCWGCCGCCGCGG